ensembl:ncRNA Y37A1B.330 ncRNA
CCGUCUCUUCCCGACUAGUACGAGAGCCGUCCUCCAAACCCCCAACCGCUCUUCUUGGCAUUACGAGGACGUAAUUGCUAUCUUGACUCUCGCCGUCUCGCCGUCUCUUCAGUCCUCCACACUAUCUCGUCACGUCCGCGCGUUGUUUAUCGCGACUGACCGCUCUCUGCCCGUCGCGCAUCUCAUCUCCACGGUGCCUGGUAGAGACAUGCCCCGCCCCACGCGUCCACCUGCAGUGCUCUGACCACGCCCACUCGGUGACGGGGUCGGUAUAAAAGAGACGGGGAGGGGGCGAAUCGGCAUAUACACAGCAUUCGUCUCCCUCCACCCGUGGCCCCAUUUCUCUCGUUCUCCUUUUCCUCUCUUUUCUUCCUUACCCCCCAAACCCUGCCGCUACUACUACUACUCCUACAACUACAACUACUACUACUACUAUACAUAUUCAUGU